rnacentral:rRNA from 1 species
UACAGAGGGUGCAAGCGUUAAUCGGAAUUACUGGGCGUAAAGGGCGCGUAGGUGGUUGGACAAGUGAGAUGUGAAAUCCCUGGGCUUAACCUAGGAACUGCAUCUUAUACUGUUUAGCUAGAGUACUGUAGAGGGUAGUGGAAUUUACGGUGUAGCAGUGAAAUGCGUAGAGAUCGUAAGGAAGACCAGUGGCGAAGGCGGGUCUCUGGACAGUUCCUGACACUGAGGCACGAAGGCCAGGGGAGCAAACGGG